UGGCGGACGGGUGAGUAAUGCUUGGGAACUUGCCUUUAGGAGGGGGAUAACCACGGGAAACUGUGGCUAAUACCGCAUAAUGUCUACGGACCAAUGCGGGGGCUCUUCGGACCUCGCACCUAAAGAUAGGCCCAAGUGAGAUUAGCUAGUUGGUGGGGUAAAGGCUCACCAAGGCGACGAUCUCUAGCUGUUCUGAGAGGAUGAUCAGCCACACUGGGACUGAGACACGGCCCAGACUCCUACGGGAGGCAGCAGUGGGGAAUAUUGCACAAUGGGGGAAACCCUGAUGCAGCCAUGCCGCGUGUGUGAAGAAGGCCUUCGGGUUGUAAAGCACUUUCAGUGGUGAGGAAGGCUUGUAGGUUAAUAGCCUGCAAGAUUGACGUUAGCCACAGAAGAAGCACCGGCUAACUCCGUGCCAGCAGCCGCGGUAAU
rnacentral:rRNA from 1 species